rnacentral:rRNA from 1 species
AGGGAAUCUUCCGCAAUGGACGAAAGUCUGACGGAGCAACGCCGCGUGAGUGAUGAAGGCUUUCGGGUCGUAAAACUCUGUUGUCAGGGAAGAACAUCCGGGAUAACCUCCCGGUCUGACGGUACCUGAUCAGAAAGCCCCGGCUAACUACGUGCCAGCAGCCGCGGUAAUACGUAGGGGGCAAGCGUUGUCCGGAAUUAUUGGGCGUAAAGCGCGCGCAGGCGGUUUCUUAAGUCUGGUGUGAAAGCCCGCAGCUCAACUGCGGAGGGCCACUGGAAACUGGGAAGCUUGAGUGUAGGAGAGGAGAGCGGAAUUCCACGUGUAGCGGUGAAAUGCGUAGAUAUGUGGAGGAACACCCGUGGCGAAAGCGGCUCUCUGGCCUAUAACUGACGCUGAGGCGCGAAAGCGUGGGGAGCAAAC